CUUAGUAUUUUACAUCAUUCACAAUUAUUAGUCAUAAUCAAGUAUUAUCAGUCUAGUAAAUUAUUCCCAACACAAUUAUUUCCAUUUCUGUCACCUUCAGAAUGGGUUGCUAUUUUUAGUCAUAAACCAUAUAGGGUUGGGUUUCCUUAAAGCAUUUUUUUUUCAGCCUGACUUGUACUCUGCAGAGGAGUAGAUGACAGGUUUAGGGAAUAGACUGUGGGACAAUGCAGUUAGCUUUGAGAACUGAUUUCACAAAGAGUAAAAUCUCACACACUCCAAUUUCAGUUUCUAAAGUGAUAUAUUUUUAAAGCUCCAUUUGUAUCCUUGUCUGUCAGUUACACAGUAUAUUACUGUUCAAACCCAGUAGGGUCUACAAUCCAAGGUGCUUUUGCAGCCUGACUUUCACAGACCAAACUGGUCAUUCUCGUUAGUGUGAUUCAGUAAAACCUCAGUUAAUGUUUUGAGAAAGGGAUUCUGAUUUAUUACAUUUCUGGUUAAUAAGGGCUUUCAUUAGAAAAUACUUUUUGGUUCAAUAUGAUUAAUGGAAAUCUUUUUAAAAUAUAGUGAUAUUUUCGCAGUCUUAGUCUCAGUCAUCAUUAUGAACAACAACAUACAUAAUGAUACAAAAUCAACAAUUUUGUCACUAAUUAGGUCAACUAAGAUAAGUCACCUGAUUAAGCUAAUAAAUACCAGACACCUAUUGGUUAUUAAAAACUCUCAAUGGAGCAAAGAAUAUACUUAACAUGAUAAAAGUUCUCAAUCAUGAUUCAACAGAGAAGUACUAGAGAUAAAACAAAAUAAAGACACUAGCCAUCACUAACAUGAUUCUGGAAGUCAAAAGUCAUGGGAGUACACACACAC
rnacentral:lncRNA from 1 species